rnacentral:tRNA from 1 species
GGGGUUGUGGCUUAGUGGUAGAGUGCUUGCCUAGCAUGUAUGAGGUGCUGAGUUCGAUCCUUAGCACCACA